GCUUUCGUGCCUCAGUGUCAGUGUUGGUCCAGGUAGCUGCCUUCGCCAUGGAUGUUCCUCCCGAUCUCUACGCAUUUCACUGCUACACCGGGAAUUCCGCUACCCUCUACCACACUCUAGUUGUCCAGUUUCCACUGCAGUUCCCAGGUUGAGCCCAGGGCUUUCACAACAGACUUAAACAACCACCUACGCACGCUUUACGCCCAGUAAUUCCGAGUAACGCUUGCACCCUUCGUAUUACCGCGGCUGCUGGCACGAAGUUAGCCGGUGCUUAUUCUUUGGGUACCGUCAUCCCAACCAGGUAUUAGCCGGCUGGAUUUCUUUCCCAACAAAAGGGCUUUACAACCCGAAGGCCUUCUUCACCCACGCGGUAUGGCUGGAUCAGGCUUGCGCCCAUUGUCCAAUAUUCCCCACUGCUGCCUCCCGUAGGAGUCUGGACCGUGUCUCAGUUCCAGUGUGGCUGAUCAUCCUCUCAGACCAGCUACGGAUCGUCGCCUUGGU
rnacentral:rRNA from 1 species